rnacentral:rRNA from 1 species
UACGGAGGGUGCAAGCGUUAAUCGGAAUUACUGGGCGUAAAGCGUGCGCAGGCGGUUUGUUAAGUCCGUUGUGAAAGCCCCGAGCUCAACUUGGGAAUUGCAGUGGAUACUGGCAGGCUGGAGUACGGUAGAGGAAGGUGGAAUUCCCGGUGUAGCAGUGAAAUGCGUAGAGAUCGGGAGGAACACCAGUGGCGAAGGCGGCCUUCUGGACCAGUACUGACACUGAGGCACGAAAGCGUGGGGAGCAAACAGG